UUUUUUAAAAUUCUUUAAUGACAAGAUAGAAAAAAUACGACUUCAGAGUCAGAGUGUGUCACUUGCCAAUGUUAAGUAUGGACUCACUCCGAGCAGCAUUGGUGAUAAUAGUAACGAGUUAAUCCAACUAAAUUCCUUUAAUCCAAUCUCCCAAAAUGAACUAACUGUGUUGAUUAAAUCAUCGAAGUCAUCAUCGUGUAUACUCGAUCCUGUUCCAACUCGUUUACUUAAAGAUUUACUCCCAGCUAUUGUAGAGCCCCUGCUUACAUUAAUCAAUGCAUCCCUUAGCCUUGGGUAUGUACCUAAAUUGUUUAAAAGUGCUGUUAUUAAACCCCUGAUUAAAAAACCUAAUCUUGAUCCACAUGUUUUAUCUAAUUAUAGGCCAAUUUCAAACCUUCCUUUUGUCUCAAAGAUAUUAGAAAAAGUCGUUUCCAAACAGCUAUGUUCUUAUUUGAAUGAAAAUUGUAUUCAUGAAAAAUUUCAAUCAGGAUUUAGACCCAACCAUAGUACCGAAACCGCAUUAAUUAGAGUAGUUAACGAGUUGUUAAUGUCUUCUGAUAAUGGAUGUGUCUCUUUUCUUGUUCUAUUAGAUCUUAGUGCAGCGUUUGAUACGGUCGAUCAUAACAUUUUACUGGAGAGGCUAGAAAAUACAGGCAUUCUGAUGGAAACCUGUUUACCCGCCGAGGUUAAGGAUUAAAGUCGAGACUGCCGGGACAACGAUGCUGCUCCUGUCAGAUGUGACGGGUCUGGAGUAAUUGCAACGACAAGAAAUCACUACAGACUUUAUUGAAGACUAGAGCGGAUAACAACUCUAUUAUUAUUUAAUUGUUUAUUUAUCUAUUUAUUACCACUGUAUGACUUUUAGAUCAUUCAAUUCUGUGUUUGUAUGAUUUGUGUAAAUCGUGUAUUUAUUUAAAGUAUCCUCCAGACCACCCAAGAAGGAUGGGCCCUGUUGAGUCUGGUUCCUCUCAAGGUUUCUUCCUGUAAUUUUCAGGGAGUUUUUCCUUGCCACAGUCGCCCUCGGCUUGCUCAACAGGGGUUUUUGUAUCUGUUGGUCCUGGAUUUUGUAAAGUUGCUUUGAGACAAUGUAUAUUGUAAAAAGCGCUAUAUAAAUAAAGUUGACUUGACAUUAAAAGUAAAA